UUUUUAAUAGUUUUAAAAAACGCCGGUCUUGUAAACCGAAAAUAAGACAUGCCCCCACUUUUAAAACU
rnacentral:tRNA from 1 species